rnacentral:misc_RNA from 1 species
GUAAGAAAUCCAUUUCGGUGUUGGUCAGGCAGCUCCAAACUGAACAUGUCUUCUGUGAUUGCAGAAGGAAGAAAAGAUGAACCUUGGGAACAUGCAGUGACUUCUGCACCAGCUGGUUCAAUCUCACAACUUAUCAAGGCAUCUCCUAAUACAUCCUUCAAAUGGUGAAUUGUUUCCUCUUGCCGAUUUUUCAUGUGAAGGAGUUCCCUAGUAUCUGUGAUGAAAAAGAGGUCCAUCACUCUCCCGUC